rnacentral:rRNA from 1 species
AAGUGUCGGCAACACACGGGGUUUUUGGCCCCCCCCCGGGGGGCCCCCGAAAAACCCAAAUUUUUUCGCCCCCCCCCCGGGGCCCUCCCUCCCCCCCGGGAGAUUGGGAACCCCCCAGAGGGAAAGAAGGGCUCCCCAAAGAAAGAAGAAAUUACCGGGAGUGCCCUUCUCACAGGUGGUUCGUCACGUCUGAUGUGAAACUCUGGGACUUAACCACAAACCUGCAUUCGAUACUGACAAGCUUUAAUAUGGGAAGGGAGUCUGGAAUUCCUGGUGUACCAGUGGAAUGCACAUAUAUAAGAACGAACACCAAUGGCGAAGGCAGGACUCUGGACCUUUACUGACACUGACGAACGAAAGCGUGGGAAACAAACUUGAUUACAUUCCCUGGAAGUCCACACCGUAGACGGUGGGCACUAUUUGUGGGAACCUUCCACAGUCUCUGCGACUCAUCUAA